UGGGGAAUUUUGGACAAUGGGCGCAAGCCUGAUCCAGCAAUGCCGCGUGCAGGAUGAAGGCCUUCAGGUUGUAAACUGCUUUUGUACGGAACGAAAAGACUCCUUCUAAUAAAGGGGGUCCAUGACGGUACCGUAAGAAUAAGCACCGGCUAACUACGUGCCAGCAGCCGCGGUAAUACGUAGGGUGCGAGCGUUAAUCGGAAUUACUGGGCGUAAAGCGUGCGCAGGCGGUUAUAUAAGACAGAUGUGAAAUCCCCGGGCUCAACCUGGGAACUGCAUUUGAGACUGGAUAGCUAGAGUACGGAAGAGGGGGAUGGAAUUCCGGGUGUAGCAGUGAAAUGCGUAAAUAUGCGGAGGAACACCGAUGGCGAAGGCAAUCCCCUGGGCCUGUACUGACGCUCAUGCACGAAAGCGUGGGGAGCAAACA
rnacentral:rRNA from 1 species